AUUGAACGCUGGCGGCAGGCCUAACACAUGCAAGUCGAGCGAGCGGCGGACGGGUGAGUAAUGUCUGGGAAACUGCCUGAUGGAGGGGGAUAACUACUGGAAACGGUAGCUAAUACCGCAUACCAUCAGAUGUGCCCAGAUGGGAUUAGCUAGUAGGUGGGGUAAUGGCUCACCUCGGCGACGCUCCCUAGCUGUUCUGAGAGGAUGACACGCCACACUGGAGCGAGAAAACGGUCCAGACUCCUACGGGAGGCAGCAGUGGGGAAUAUUGCACAAUGGGCGCAAGCCUGAUGCAGCCAUGCCGCGUGUGUGAAGAAGGCCUUCGGGUUGUAAAGCACUUUCAGCGGGGAGGCGUUACCCGCAGAAGAAGCACCGGCUAACUCCGUGCCAGCAGCCGCGGUAAUUC
rnacentral:rRNA from 1 species